GAUGAACGCUGGCUACAGGCUUAACACAUGCAAGUCGUGGGGAAACGGCAUUAUGUGCUUGCACAUUCUGGACGUCGACCGGCGCACGGGUGAGUAUCGCGUAUCCAACCUGCCCCUUACUUGGGGAUACCCCGUUGAAAGACGGCCUAAUACCCGAUGUGUUUCAUUGACGGCAUCCGAUAUGAAACAAAGGUUUUCCGGUAAGGGAUGGGGAUGCGUCUGAUUAGCUUGUUGGCGGGGCAACGGCCCACCAAGGCGACGAUCAGUAGGGGUUCUGAGAGGAAGGUCCCCCACAUUGGAACUGAGACACGGUCCAAACUCCUACGGGAGGCAGCAGUGAGGAAUAUUGGUCAAUGGACGCAAGUCUGAACCAGCCAAGUAGCGUGCAGGAUGACGGCCCUAUGGGUUGUAAACUGCUUUUAUGUGGGAAUAAAGUGGCGCACGUGUGCGCCAUUG
rnacentral:rRNA from 1 species